UACGAAGGGUGCAAACGUUGCUCGGAAUUAUUGGGCGUAAAGCGCACGUAGGCGGCUUUGUGUGUCGGAUGUGAAAUCCCUCGGCUCAACCAAGGAAGUGCAUUCGAAACUGCAAAGCUUGAGUACUUAAGAGGAUCGCGGAAUUCCCGGUGUAGAGGUGAAAUGCGCAGAUAUCAGGAAGAACACCUAUGGCGAAGGCAGCUCUCUGGGACGGUACUGACGCUGAGACGCGAAAGCGUGGGGAGCGAACAGG
rnacentral:rRNA from 1 species